CUCAUGUUCGCAUUCUGAACACGUUGACGAGUGCUCAAUCUGUUUAGAUCGGCGUACAGAGGUCAUAUUGCCAUGCACGCAUAGCUUUUGUACGCCUUGCAUUGAACAAUGGAAUGUCAAUAAUAAAACGUGUCCUAUUUGUUCAGAGACACUUCUUAGUACAGACGAAACUUGGGUUAUGCCUGAUAUUCCAGGCGUAGAAGAGAUAAAUGAAAUAAUUUGUGCAGAAUUUAUGAAUUUAGCAAAAAACUAAA